GCUGCACCCCUGUAUCGCCGCUCGCCGGACACAAAUCCCCUCCCCUCCCCUCCACUCCGACCCCAACUCCCCUACGCCACCACCGCAUCCGCCAUGCCCUACAACAACUACGCGCGGAGCUGGAUCUCGCCAGCGCCGCCGCUCAAUGGGACGACCUCCUUCAAGCCCACGCCCGCGUCCGCCGGCCUCCAGGACCCCCUCCUCCUCAUGGUGGCCUGCUGCUGCUGCCAACGUCGUCCAACCGCAGCCCUCUUCACCGGCCGCAUCUCCCACCUCCUGCUCCCCACCAAAACCAGCCCUCUUCCACUCCGAUCUGCACCUCACACAGCUGCCGCAUCCGAGCGCCUCUCCUGCUCAUCCACCACAACAUGCGCGCCUCCUACCAACUCACAAGGACGAGGACCAGGAGGCACACCUGCUGCUCUGCUCCGACUGCGGCCGGGGAUGAAUGCCGGGCGGAGGGAGGUUCGCGCAUGGAUCCAAUUCAGCUCAUCAUUAAUUAAGCCACUCCCUGUACAAUGCACAUACACAUGCUUUACUUCACCCUUGUGUGUAGCUCCGUAAAAAUUUCUUGUCCUCAACAUGGAGCGUGCCUCAUAGCUGGAUAGUGGGAAGCAGAUUCAGGACGACUUCCUCCACUCAUACAUAAUGGACAAUUACAACCACUGCAACCGAUAGGUGGCAUUUCUGCCGAGGAUGGGUGGUGGCGGGUUCACGAGGGUGACUUCUCGUAGCAAGGUGCAGCCUGCUGCACUCUCAGAUUUUGAUUUUUUGGCUUCCAGCUGCAGAGAAAGGGAGCUUGGCUUCCCAGUCUGUGCCGCUGACGCAGGAGCAAGAAUGAGGUGUCAUUGGCGCUGGGCCAAGGGAGCAGCACUGCUGGUUCACUACACCUACCUGGGACAAGCAGGGCGGCAUUGCUAGCGAGGAUGGGCGGCGAUGGGUUCAGGAGGGCGACUUACUCGCAGAACAACCACUUCUAGUAGCAAGGGAGCUUGGCCUCCCAGUCUGUGCCGCUGAUGCGGGAGCAAGGAUGGGCUGCAGCUGGUUGACUAUUGGGUGCGACCUACCUUGGACAAUCAGGAGAAUCUGGAAGAAGCUGUUGAGCACCUCACCAUGGAAAUCAUGCUGAAUCUGAGCUCAGCAAUCGUCUGCUCUUGCUGUUAUCUUGGUUCUGUUGACAACGGUGUGGCGGGACAGAUGGACUGCAACCCUGGUACCUCAAGUUGCAGAUUUCCUCAGUCUUCCUUGCUUUGGAUUGCUCGGCAUGGCAGUUCCAUCUCGUUGCUGGUUGUACCUUUACACAUCAUUGCUGACCAACCAGGCUACCUCUUAAUUGAUUUGGAUGGCUGGUUAUGUUAUUUUGCUUAUCGGACAUAAUGUGUUGCUUGUAACUGUUUUGUACUUGGGAGUUCAUUAUGUGUUCUUGUUAUGAUGGAUACAUAUCCUUGGAAUACUUAUUAGAAACUACUACCUCCAGUCCAAAAGGCUAUUUUAGCCUACUGAAACUUGUCGUAUUUUAGGACAGAGGAAGUAGCAUAUAUCUUCCUUGCUUUGAACUCACCUGUACUUGUGUUAAAUUCCUUUGCUGUACUGAUUUUUGAUCU